rnacentral:tRNA from 1 species
ACCUAGAUAGCUUGAAAAUAAAGCGUUCUAAAAGGAGAGAUUUGGGUACAAUUCCCAUUCUGGGUU